rnacentral:rRNA from 1 species
UACAGAGGUGGCAAGCGUUGUUCGGAUUUACUGGGCGUAAAGGGCAGGUAGGUGGUCGCGAAAGUCCAUUGUGAAAGCCUAGGGCUCAACCCUAGAAAUGCAGUGGAAACUCCACGGCUUGAGUGUCGGAGAGGUGAGGGGAAUUCUCGGUGUAGGGGUGAAAUCUGUAGAUAUCGAGAGGAAUACCAGUGGCGAAGGCGCCUCACUGGCCGACAACUGACACUGAGCUGCGAAAGCAAGGGGAGCAAACAGG